rnacentral:lncRNA from 1 species
UUCACUAGAAAAAUUCCGUAGACCAAUUAGGAACAGUACUGAUAAAGAUAAACAUUUAUAUUCUGAAAGCUUCCCAUAAAUUGUUCCUUCUAACAGAUACUGUUCCCUUUUCUUGAAUUUGUUUCCUUCUCUCCUUCCUAUGGAAGUCACUUGGUUGUGUUUAUUAGCUGAAACAGGGUUAUUUACUACUGUUUUAGAACACGAUGAUGACACAAUGUGAGAAGAGAAGUUCUGCCGGAAUGCAACUGUCUGAGAACACCCAGGGAUAUGUCACAGAACAAGUAUUCAGAGGGGAUGAAAAUCAAACAUGACUCACAGAGUAUUGUUAAAACUUGAUGUCCUGAAGCGAUAUGAGAAGAAAAAACUGAGCAAAUACGACAUGACUGAGUGUCGAAACCUUGGGAAAGUACAGUUCAACCCCUACCUAAGAACUCCACUGCUACUCGAUUUUAAACUGGAUUAUGAGUCUCCUAGAGAUGUAAAAUCAAAUAUUUCAGCAGUUCCAUCUACUCACCAUAUUAUACAAUGUAACAGGAGUCCAUUCCAGCAGAGAGAAAGGCCUCAGUCUGGGUCUUCAGCACAAAUAAACAGAAAGAAUUACUCAGGCAAACCUUCUGUGAGGCCACUUAGUGCUCCAUCCUAUCUGGAACAUGAACCAAGUGACCAGAGAGGUAUGUUUAUUACUUAAGUUGCCAAGUCAAAAGCAUCCCAUUCCCUGACAUUUCAGGGAGAAUGGAGUUUGUGAUGUCA